rnacentral:sRNA from 1 species
GGUUCGACCCGAGCGAAGCGAGAGAACGUUGCGCGAGCAACGGCCCGCAGGGCGAGCCACGUAGUGGUGAGUCAUCCUCUAUCACCGACCA